UCCGAGUGACGGCUUCCCCAGACCGGUGGGUGCGGCCCGCGUGAGAGAGAGCAUGCAAACACGGACGGGGAGGAGCAGAGGGAGAGGGAGAGUCCCAAGAAGACUCUGGCCCGAGCGCUGUACCCCACGUGGAACACCAUCCCGAGACCGUGAUCUGAGCCAAAAAUAAGAGCCAGACAUUCAACAGACUGAACCACCCAAGUGCCUCAGCAACCAUUUGCAGAAGUAUCAUUAUCUCUGGUGGGAAACGGAGUCUCCAAGAAGUUCAAGUGACUCUCCCUGGGUGAGCACAUCAAAGUUCUUCCGGUCCCUAACCUUUAAUUAGACACUUUUCUGAAGCGUGAAGCUGGGCUAUGCUUGUCAGAACAGACACCGGAGGAGCACCUGGGUGGCUCAGUCAUUAGGUGUCUGCCUUUGGCUCCGGUUGUGAUCCUGGGAUUGAGACC